AGCACUGGAUAUCUUGUGAAGUCAGUAUGGAUGUUCUGCUUUCUCUUUGAAUUUGAGUCUGACAUCACUUUUAAAUCCCAAUUUAUGUUUUCCUAUUUGCAGCUUGGGUUGCCAUGCUUUCCAAGGGAAUUCCCUGAUUGCAGUGCAUAUUCUUGUUUUAUGGCCUUGGAGGAAGCUGCUUAUGAUAAAAAGCCAGUGCUUCGUUCUCCUCACACAAGGACUUAGAAAGUUCCAGUUCCAUCUCCAUGGGACAGUCUCCGCUUUGCUAUAAAGCACUCAAUGGGAAGCUCAUGGUCGGGUACAACAUGAACAACUUUUACCAGAUGAUAUGAUCAGAAACAUAGCAAUGAAUAGUACAUAUCUGAGGUAUGAUAAUAAGUCAGAGCUCCGUUCUCCUUACACAAGGACUUGGAAAGUUCCAGUUGCAUCUCCAUGGGACAGUCUCCGU
rnacentral:lncRNA from 1 species